AGAUCGUACAACCAACGUGGUAAUGCUGGCAUAAUAAUUCCCGGUUGCCAUUUUCUGACAUUUGAAAAGAUCUGAAGAUACGCCCCUUGGAUGCCUGCAGAGAAGCUCUGGGGCUUCAGUCAAUGACUCAGGGUAGCCACCGAACAUGAUGCUCGGGCAGUGGGUGCCACCUGGACUCCACUCUCCCCUCUCUCUGGGAUCAUAGAGUCCAAGGUGUUCUGUGGCCUCUCGGCCAAUCCCAGCAGCUCAGCGUGCAGAAGACCGAGGAGCCAUUGGAAAAGAAAAAGAGAACAUAUAUCCCCCUACCUUUUGAUUUCCAACAGUCUACUGAGAGGCCAAGAUUAUUUGCAGGGAAAGAAAAGGGGAAUGCCAUCCCCACCCUCUCGCAGCUACGUGCCAGUUCCAGAGCACCUGUUCCCCUCUACUUUGAAAAGGUCAAAAUGUUUUGCCAGUAACUCCCAAAUCAUCUACAGCCAAGGAGAAAAGUGUUUCAAGACAGAGGUGCUCAAUGGUAUCAAAUACUGCCAACAGACCAAGUAAUACAUGCAUUGAAGUGUCUACUGGAUCUAGCUAUAUGAAUUUUUAAUUUAGGACACUUAGGCCAUACUGAAGCAAGGUGACAAAAUGAAUAGCUACAAUGUCUCGUGAAUCUUGGGUUUCCAUUCACCCUGGUAUUCAAGAGAAAUUCUUGCAUCAUGGAAGUUGCAGUUGGAUAGGACUUUCUCAGCUGAACACUGUCAUCUGCCAGAGCUUCAGGCAAGAACCCAGAACAGAUGAAACCCCAGACAUGACAAAAUAAGCCAAAGAAUACCAGGCCAAGGUGUGAAAGGCCAGAUGAGAACAAGCAGCGUACACGAUUCUGUUGCCAACAGAUCUCCCCUAACAGUGUCGUGCACCAAAUUUCCACAGUGAAUGUCAGGAAAAAAUGGCAAUUGAGGUGGGUGGUCAAAAGAGAAGCACAGUCUAUGAUGAAGUCACCCCAGAGAAGUCCUUUUUCCGUUUUCUCCUGAGAAAUUACCAGAAGAAAUUAAAAUCCUUUUGAGUAUUGCAUUUAUCUCUGCAGUAACAUUAUUUUUUCUUAAGGAAUCUCUAUCAAAUUUGCAUCUUGUCUAAUUUAGCAGGGAAUGUCACCAGGAUAAGACAACUGCAAAACCCAUUUGGGUGUGCCAAAUGACUUCAACCGAACCUCCAUGCAAACAACAUACAAGAUGCUUUCUUACUAAAUGCUCAAACAUCAAGUUCUACAUCCAGAACUGCCCCUCAACCCUCACCCUCUCGAACUCAGUAAAAAACAA
rnacentral:lncRNA from 1 species